AUUGGAACACAGGAGUGAUGGUUGCUGAUAAUGGGCCUCUGUACACCUAUGCAGAUAAUUCAAUAAAAAAUCUGCCAUUUCCAGCUACAAUAGUAAUUUACAACAUUAACAAUGUCUACACUUUAUUUCUUUCAAAAACAAGGACAUUUCUAAGUGACCACAAACUUUUGAACGGUAGUGUAGCGUUCAUUGAGGAAUCUCUUUAGUUCUUGGGGGUUCUUGCAGGAACUUUAAUGCCCAACUGAAAAUGUUUUAAUUUAUGACGACAGCAGGUGCAGGCACUUAACAUUUUUAAGAUCUCCUCAAUGUCAGGUAAGGUUCUCUCUGAAACAGAAAAUGGACACAAUUCAAUGGAUAUCAAUCAAAUAACGAGGUAUAGCCUACCGUCAAGGAGGCACAAAAAGCUUGUCAGGCAAGACCUCAGACUAAAAGUGUGCCAUGCGACACAAGUACGCUGGUGACACCUCCGUUGUUGCCAGUCUUCCUUGACUCCCAUGAAAAGGACACAUCAGGCCUCUGCUAGUGACCCAAGUUACUGCCCUGAUGACACAACGACAUGCUCCCCCAGUCAACACCAACUCAUAAGAUUGCCUGCUGCAGUUGUUAGAGCGAUGUCCAGUUCGCAGCCGGAAACAGCAUAGAGAAGAGCAGCAAGGGGGACAUCAUCAGCAUCAUGCAGACAUACUCUCACUAUGAAUGGAACAGUCAGCCACAUGUCUGGCAAGUAUCCUGCCAGCAACCUUCACCUGCCAGUGGCAGCAGCUUUCACAGGCUCAUCAUUUCUACAAAUACAGAAGCUCAGGCGUUCGGCGUCGCCGGCCUUCUAGCUGCUGCCGAACCUACUGCUGGCAAAUGCCCAACCCAGGACUUGUCUCGUCAUCAUUACACACACCUGGUUCCUAUCCCCACUCUGUAUAUACUCCCGCUGUCAGUCAUUGUAAAUGUUACUUGUUUUCCCUGAGAGGAAUCUCUCCUACUAUUACCAGAGUACUUCGUUUUGUUUCGCCCAGUGUCUUUUUGUAUAUGAAGAUAGAUAUAUUUUGAGCACAACAGCGUUUGGGUUUCGUCUCGCUUUGUUCUCUGGUGCUUAAAUAAAUUCAGUAGUUCUAAACCUG